rnacentral:lncRNA from 1 species
GCUCUUCUCUAAGUAGAUUAGGCGCAGCCAACACAUCAUUACAACUGCUACAUAUGGCUCCUACCCAAACACAUGUCCAUAAACAACUAACUCACAGCAAGCGACUGAAACAAUAUAAACUACAAAUGGUAGUCUUAGUCUCCAUGCAGCUACAUUACUGGUUCUUCUCUCAACCUCAUAAAAGCUUGCUUGUUGCCAAUAAUAUAAUUUACACAGCACUUUUCUUGUCGCCAGAUAAACAACAACCAGUAGCAUUCACGAAAAAAAAGCAUGCAGUUUGACGCCACCGGGCCGAGCAGCAGCAGGAUGAGGAUGCCUCCCUUCCACCUGCUCACAUCAAGAUUUAAACUAGAUGAGACUAGAGCUGGGUUUAUUAAGGGUAUCAGGGUAGUAUAUAGUAGCGUAGCGCUGCUAACUUAAUUCUCCAAAUCAUGCAAUUCUAUUGAAUGUGAGAUCGAACAGUGAAAGCAAUAUACACAGCCAGUCAUUCAGUAGGUAAUGUUUUGCUUUGCAUAUUGCUAAUAGGCGCCAGCUUAGUUUCUUCCCAAGUAGUUCAACAUAUCACUGAGGCAUAUCCAGUGACAUUAAUUAGCGCCGUACCAACGGAAUCAGCUAAGAAGAGAAGUGCACCUUGAAGCACAGUUAAUAGCAGAGAAAAAAGAAUACCAGAUUGAUUCAAUCAAGAGGACAAUAUGAUGAUCUGAUCUCCGCCACAAAAUUCAACCUAAAGCCAAAUCAAAAACAGAUGACUGGUUUUAGAAGAAAAAAAAGUGUAUAUAUUAGCAGAAAAGAACAUCGAUGCUGACAA